UACGAAGGGGGCUAGCGUUGCUCGGAAUGACUGGGCGUAAAGGGCGCGUAGGCGGACUCUUAAGUCGGGGGUGAAAGCCCAGGGCUCAACCCUGGAAUUGCCUUCGAUACUGAGAGUCUUGAGUUCGGAAGAGGUUGGUGGAACUGCGAGUGUAGAGGUGAAAUUCGUAGAUAUUCGCAAGAACACCAGUGGCGAAGGCGGCCAACUGGUCCGAUACUGACGCUGAGGCGCGAAAGCGUGGGGAGCAAACAGG
rnacentral:rRNA from 1 species